GGCAGCGUGGCGUAGUGGUUUGAGCGUUGGCCUAGGACUCUGGAGAUCGGGGUUCGAAUUCUGGCUCAGCCA